UGACAUUGUUUAACGGCCGCGGUAUUUUGACCGUGCGAAGGUAGCGCAAUCAAUUGUCUCUUAAAUGGAGACCAGUAUGAAUGGCAUCACGAGGGCUUAACUGUCUCCCCUUUAAAGUCAAUGAAAUUGAUCUCCCCGUGCAGAAGCGGGGAUAUACUCGUAAGACGAGAAGACCCUAUGGAGCUUUAGAUAUAAAGCGACUUAUGUCAAACGCCCCUUCCAAAGGAAUUGAACAAAAUGAGCCCCGCCGGAAUA
rnacentral:rRNA from 1 species